rnacentral:pre_miRNA from 1 species
AAUAAAUUAAUUUUUAUUUUUUGUCUUUAAUUUUUGACUCUUCGUUUUAUUUAAAUUUUUUUGUGAUUGAUUUUUUUGUUUUUAUUAGAUGAUAAAUCAUAAAUAGUACUUUACGUGCGACUAAUUAUUUUAUAAUUUUCUAAAAAAAUUUUAAAUAAGACGGAUGGUCAAACGUUGGACACGGAAACAGAAGAAUUCGUUUUUU